AGGACGAACGCUGGCGGCGUGCUUAACACAUGCAAGUCACGGGGGGCUCGCAAGAGCUAACCGGCGAACGGGUGCGUAACACGUGACCAACCUGCCCUCGUGUGGGGGAUAGCCGGGCUAACGCCCGGGUAAUACCGCAUACGUUCCUCUGGGGGAGUCCCCGGGGGAGGAAAGCUCCGGCGCACGGGGGAGGGGGUCGCGGCCUAUCAGCUAGGUUGGGGGGGUAACGCCUCCCAAGGCGACGACGGGUAGCU
rnacentral:rRNA from 1 species